GGGGAAUAUUGGACAAUGGGCGAAAGCCUGAUCCAGCCAUGCCGCGUGUGUGAAGAAGGUCUUCGGAUUGUAAAGCACUUUAAGUUGGGAGGAAGGGCAGUAAGUUAAUACCUUGCUGUUUUGACGUUACCGACAGAAUAAGCACCGGCUAACUUCGUGCCAGCAGCCGCGGUAAUACGAAGGGUGCAAGCGUUAAUCGGAAUUACUGGGCGUAAAGCGCGCGUAGGUGGUUCGUUAAGUUGGAUGUGAAAGCCCCGGGCUCAACCUGGGGACUUCAUUCCAAACUUGCGAGCUUGAGUAACGGAGAGGGUGGUGGAAUUUUCUGUGUAGGCGGUAAAUGCGUAGAAAUAGGAAGGAAAACCAGUGGCGAAGGCGACCAACUGGACUUAUAAUUACACUGAGGUGCGAAAGCGUGGGGAGCAAACA
rnacentral:rRNA from 1 species